GGAAAUCUCACCAGGCCCGGACAAUGGAAGGAUUGACAGAUUGAUACCUCUUUCUUGAUUCUGUGGGUGGUGGUGCAUGGCCGUUCUUAGUUGGUGGAGUGAUUUGUCUGGUUAAUUCCGUUAACGAACGAGACCUCGACCUGCUAAAUAGAGCGACGAAUCCUUGUGAUUCGUUGGUACUUCUUAGAGGGACUGUUGGUGCCUAGCCAAUGGAAGUUCGAGGCAAUAA
rnacentral:rRNA from 1 species